rnacentral:tRNA from 1 species
GCGUCGGUGGUGUAGUGGUUAACAUAGUUGCCUUCAAAGCAAUUGUCCCUGGUUCGAUUCCCGGCCGAUGCA